CAAACGGCCCUUUUCAGGGCCACUAAAUCAAAUGCGAAUCUUUUU
rfam:Trichuris trichiura, WGS project CBXK01000000 data, contig: TTRE_16